rnacentral:tRNA from 1 species
GGGCGAUUAGCUCAGCUGGGAGAGCUUCUGCCUUACAAGCAGGAGGUCGUAGGUUCAAGCCCUGCAUCGCCCA